CUUCAAUAAAGAAACUCGUAAUCACACCCGAAGUACUUCAAAGUUUUGGCUACCAAUACACCUUAGAUUUACCCAUUAACUGCUCAGGAAUUUAAAAUCUGAACCUUUUCUUCGUCGGCUUGUUACUCGUACCUCCGAUUAACACUUGGCCACAUCAAUGCUAGGCCAAUAAAUUAGAAUAUUCAUCCAACGUUCACUCCUAUAUAUUACAUCUCACAAUCAAACAUUUAGAAUUGAUGAUUAUUC
rnacentral:misc_RNA from 1 species